CUUUGUGACCCCAUGACUCCAUGGAAUUCUCCAGGCCAGAAUACUGGUGUGGGUAGCCUUUCCCUUCUCCAAGGGAUCUUCCCAACCCAGAGAUUGAACCCAGGUCUCCUGCAUUACAGGCAGAUUCUUUACCAGCUGAGCCACAAUGGAAGCCCAAGAAUACUGGAGUGGGUAGUUUAUCCCUUCUCCAGUGGAUUUUCCCUCCCAAGAGUCAACCCAGGGUCUCCUGCAUUGCAUGCAGAUUCUUUACCAACUGAGCUAUCAGGGAAACCCCUCAGAGGCUGUAAGGAGACAGUCAACCCCAAGUGCUGCCUGAGGGGGCUCCUGGAAAGUAUCAUCCUAGGGACAUGACACCCUCUGACAACCUGCCUUCCUUUAUAGGGCAGCGUCUGGGGUGCUGACCCCAGCCAUCGACGUGAGACGCUGGCCCUGCAGUGCAGCCCAGCCCCUCAGUGGUGAAUCAGUGCAUGUGGACACAGGGCUGCCAUAAACAAGUACUGCAAACCAAGUGGCUUAAACAACAGAAACCUAUUUGUUCACAGUCCUGGAGGCUGGAAGUCCUCAAUCAAGGCUUCUUCCUUGGGCUUGUGUUGGCCAGCCUUCAUUCCAAGUGGAAGAUACACCCCCUGAGUUUACAACUCAGGAACAGAAGAGCUGAGUGUCUCUAAAGCACUGGCGAAGUUUACAAGCCAAAAAUCACGCCUGUUUGAAGAACUGCCUGG
ensembl:lncRNA